GGGCCGGGCCCGGCCCCCCCGCGAUGCCAAAGUCUUGUCACUUUUCUGAACGGGAAAAAAGAGGAAAAAAAAAAACAAAAACAAACAAACAAAAAAAAACAGGGAAAAAAAAAGGAAAAAAAAAAGAAAAAAGAAAAAAAAAAAAGAGGAAGGAAGAGGGACCCGAGCCGCCCCCGGGGACUCUGCAUGCAAAAAAGUAUUUAAAUCUAUGCCAAUUUUAUGACGCUUUUGGAGCCGAUUUAUUUAUUUAUUUGCCAAACUUUAGAUAGUCUAUUUGAGGGCAAUAUUUCUCCGUAGGAGUCCGGUACUGAACCUAUAGAGCAAUAAUUAACGUAAUGCAUGGUAUUUUUAAGACAAAUAGUAUUAAUGAGGAAUCAGGUACAUUUUAAUCCAAUAUUCUUAAUAGCAACGAAUAUCAGGGAUGAUGCCAGAGUAGCGCUAGCACCCCGAGUAUGCACUGCCCGCCCCGCUAGGCCCCGCCGCCGUAGUCGCCUCCCCCGGGACCCGCCGCCGGCCCCGCACACGCAGCACACGCAGCACACACGCAGCACAUGUAUAGCACAUGCAGCACACGCAGCACACAGCAUGCACAUAGCACACACAUUGCACACGCAGCACACACAGGCACAUAUAUAGCACACGCAGCACACGUAGCACAUGCAGCACACGCAGUACAUGCAGCACACAGCACACACAGCACAUGCACAAGCACACGCAGCACACGCAGCACACGCAGACACGUGUGCUCUACAAGAAGCACGGCACGAGCAGCGUCUGCACGCUGCGUGCACCAAACACGCCGCAUGCACCGAACACUACACGCACCAAAUGUGCUGCAUGCAUCACACACACUGCGUGCACCAGGCACUGCACACACCGCACACGCUGCAGGCACCAGACACACUGCACACACCGAGUGCUGCACACACCAAACACUGCAUGCACCAAACCCACUGCAUGCACUGGACGCUGCACGCAGCGAACGUGCUACGUGCACUGCACACACUGGACACUGCACGCACCAAACACGCUGCAUGCACCAAGCAUUGCACACGCAGUACUUGUGCAAGGGCGCGCACUGCAGGCUGCACCAGUGCAUGUGCACAAGCUGCAGGCACCGUGUGCACACUGCACAAGCUUUGGGCACCAUAUGCUGUGCAUGCCAGCUGCACGGGCUGCACGUGCACACUGCAUGCACUGCGCACGCACGGCGUGCACUGCACUGAGCGUGUGCACACAGCAUGCGCUGCACACACUGCACACGCACACACUGCACACACCAUGCCCGCCGCAGACACUGCCCAUGCCACACACACCGUGCACACUGCGCGCACUGUGCACACCGAACACACCACGUGCACUGCGCUCACUGCACAUGCACUGCAAGCGCUGCACACACCAUGCACUGUGCAUACACCACACGCACUGCAUGCGCUGCGCAGCUGCACACACGUGUGCACUGCACACACCACGUGCACUGCACAGGCACUGCACGCACUGCACACCCCAUGCACACAGCAUCCAUUGCGCACACCCCACACGCAUGGCACACACACCCCACACGCUGCACUUGCAUUGCACACGCACUGCACACACACCCUGCAUGCACACCCCACACACUGCACACACCCCACACGCACCCCACAAGCACCCCACACCCCACACGCACCCCACACUCACUGCACACCCCACACGCCCGCGCCCUGCACGCGCCCUGCACGCGCCGCACACGC
ensembl:lncRNA